rnacentral:hammerhead_ribozyme from 1 species
AUCCAGCCGACGAGUUCCAAAUAGGACGAGACCUGCGUCCUACAU